GGGAAUGAGAAGAACUACCGGACUUAAGGUGACCCGAGAAGAUUUUUCUGAGGAGGUUACUUUGUCACAUCAGCAAGAGGAAAACUCCAACCAUGGAGAUAAGAUGUGGACUUCGCCUCUCUUCUGGCCGAACUUCCUACCGUGACCAUGCUGUGAUUGGGGGCCUUUCCAGCGUUCAGCACAGCCUCUCGUGCUGCCCUACCCUGCCUAUGACUGAGCUGGGACCAGAAGUACCAGGACAAGAACCAAUUUUGGAGCAUGAAAUUGAGACGGGUGGGAGAUUUAAAGCCCCAUUGGCUCCUGGGAGAAAUGGAGAGACUCAAUGAAUAUAAGAAAUGGGGGGUCGGGCAUGAUGACUCAAACCUGUAAUCCCAACACUUUGGGAGGCGGAGGCAGGCAGAUCACUUGAGAUCAAAAGUUCAAGACCAGCCUGGCCAACAUGAUAAAAUCCCGUCUCUACUAAAAAUACAAAAAGCUAGCCAGGCAUGGUGGUACACACCUGUAAUCUCAGUUACUUGGGAGGCUGAGGCAGGAGAAAUCGCUUGAACCCGGGAGGUGGAGGUUGCAGUGAACUGAGAUUGCACCACUGCACUCCAGCCUGAGUAAUAAACUCUGUCUCAAAAAAA
rnacentral:lncRNA from 1 species